AUUGAACGCUGGCGGCAGGCUUAACACAUGCAAGUCGAGCGGGGUGAUGGUGCUUGCACUAUCACUUAGCGGCGGACGGGUGAGUAAUGCUUAGGAAUCUGCCUAUUAGUGGGGGACAACAUCUCGAAAGGGAUGCUAAUACCGCAUACGUCCUACGGGAGAAAGCAGGGGAUCACUUGUGACCUUGCGCUAAUAGAUGAGCCUAAGUCGGAUUAGCUAGUUGGUGGGGUAAAGGCCUACCAAGGCGACGAUCUGUAGCGGGUCUGAGAGGAUGAUCCGCCACACUGGGACUGAGACACGGCCCAAACUCCUACGGGAGGCAGCAGUGGGAAUUUUGGACAAUGGGCGAAAGCCUGAUCCAGCCAUUCCGCGUGCAGGAUGAAGGCCCUCGGGUUGUAAACUGCUUUUGUACAGAACGAAAAGGUUUCUACUAAUACUAGGAGCUCAUGACGGUACUGUAAGAAUAAGCACCGGCUAACUACGUGCCAGCCGCCGCCGUAA
rnacentral:rRNA from 1 species